rnacentral:tRNA from 1 species
UGGCGCUUGUAAAUCAAUGGUUUAUAAGGAAGUUCAAUUCCCUUGCAAGGCGUAGGUCGGGGGUUCGAACCCCUCAGCAUCCACCA